UACAGAGGGUGCAGGCGUUGUUCGGAAUUAUUGGGCGUAAAGCGCGUGUAGGCGGCCGUGCAAGUCGGGUGUGAAAGCCCUCAGCUCAACUGAGGAAGUGCGCCCGAAACUGCAUAGCUUGAGUACCGGAGAGGAUGGCGGAAUUCCCGAAGUAGAGGUGAAAUUCGUAGAUAUCGGGAGGAACACCGGUGGCGAAGGCGGCCAUCUGGACGGAUACUGACGCUGAGACGCGAAAGCGUGGGUAGCAAACAGG
rnacentral:rRNA from 1 species